CACUAUUUAGAUACAAGUGGGAUGGGAAUUGGGGGGAGGGUGAUGAUCUCAAUACGACCAUACAAAAGUUAUCAGCAUAAAACAAAUGCGCAUAGAAUUGUAUUGAUUACAUCCGACCAGUGCAUCAUCGACUCUAUCUAUCGAUGGAUCUCGCCUCCUCCUUCGCUGAACAGCAGGAAGCAAAGCAGGGCUCUCCUUCUCCAUCUCCUUCUCGACACCAUAGGCGUCAAACGAAGCGUCGGGAAUGCCAGGACUGAGAGAAGCGAAGCUGCUGCACUUAGCGGAGCAGAGCCAAGUAGAGAGAGAGAGAGAGAGAGAGAGAGGGAGAUUCAACCAGAUGGAGUGUUAUCGUUGUCGCCGUCGCUGGAGAGAAGAUCGUACUCUCUCUCUCUCCUCCGCCCUUGAACCAAGCAAACUCAACUGUCCCUCUCGCUGCUUUGCUCGCCAUCCUCUUGUGGUCCAAUCCAGGGAAUACCAAAAAGGUUUGAGAGGAUGCUUUUGAGAGAAUGGUGCAAUUAUUUGGCCUAUGGAAUUGGAAAAAUGUGAUGAGAUGAUUUGGCCAGGAAAGGAUUGGAAUGAAUUUGCAGAGCACUACUGUGAGGGCCAAUUUUUGUCUUCUAAUCUGAAGGGGACUCCAUUUUUUAUGUCUCUAUAAUUGAUGAAAGGAUGUCUGAGAUAGAAUAUUUAUCAAUCAAUGUUGAUGUGAGGAACCGAGCCUCAGCAAUUGUGGAACUGUUUUGCUGAAAGUGGAAGAUGCCUUUGCUUGCUAUGAUGUUUCAGUCAAGCUUGACGUCUGGGGGGAUGAAUUGCAUUCAGCCAAGUGUCCUUAGUCUUGUAUGAAAAUGGAAUUUGAUCAGUUUUGCAAAGUUCAUGGUGAUUCCUAUGCACAUUCAUCAGCAGAGUUUGGGGAGGGACAAAAGUUUGAACUGCUCAUCACAAGAUUUUCCAAGUGUGAAUCUUAAUUUAUUAGCUAAUUCUCCCUUGACUGUGUUGUUCUCGUGUUUGAUUCAAAUACUGUACAGGAACUGUCCAUGUCGUUAGGCUAAGAGAAACUGCGUUAGAGUUAAUGCUAAGAGAAACUGUGUUAGAGCUAAUUCAUUCUCUUAGUGUUUCUCUGUCUCUAGAUCUCCCGUGUGUGCAUAUUUAUGUGUUGGGACUAAAUGUGCCGGCGAUUGCCGUGAUGUUUUGGUUGAGCUUGAAGUCUUGGGGGAUGAACUGCAUUCAGCCAAGUGUCCUCAGCUUUGUAUGCCAAUGGAAUUUGAUCAGGUUUGCAAAGUUCAUCGCAGUUCCCAUGCACAUUCGUUACCAAAAAGUUUGGGGAGGGAUAGAAGUUCAAACUGCUCAUCAUGAGAUUUUCUGGGUAAGCUGAAAAAGCAGGGCUUGUGCAGAGCUCUCGAACCGGCCAGCAAAUUUAUACUUGAUUAUCCUUUCUCUGAAAUUGUGGUGAGGUUAAUACAUCUGAAGAAAAACAAUGUGAGAGUUCCUGGUUCAUUCCCAAAGACACGCAUUAAGAAAAGCCUGCAGACGGUGGCUCUCAUAUUUCAAGACAAAUCAUGGCUGUUGAAGCUCAUCAGCCACGAACAUAAUGGAAAGUUAUCUGCCCGUUGGGCCGCAUUCAGGACAGAAACUCCUAUGCAGGUGGAAGACAUCUGUGUGUUAGAGCUUUAUUGAAAAGGACGAUAUCGUCGUGUUCAGAAUAUCCAUCUUCAGAACCACUGAUAAGACUUGGGUGUAUAACAAUACUAUGCAAUACGAUAAAGCAGAGGAAGCAUCACUUUAGCUCACUUUGGGUGA